rnacentral:rRNA from 1 species
GUAAUGGAGAGUUUGAUCCUGGCUCAGAAUGAACGCUGGCGGCAUGGAUUAGGCAUGCAAGUCGAACGUACUCCCUUCGGGGAGAAAGUGGCGAAAGGGUGAGUAACACGUGAGCAACCUGCCUCCGGAUCCGGAAUAAUCCAGGGAAACUUGGUCUAAAACCGGAUGAAGACAUUGGUCCGCAUGGUCUAAUGUUAAAAUAUUUAUAGUCCGGAGAGGGGCUCGCGGCCCAUUAGCUUGUUGGCGGGGUAAUGGCCCACCAAGGCUACGACGGGUAGGUGGUCUGAGAGGAUGGUCACCCACACUGGGACUGAGACACUGCCCAGACUCCUACGGGAGGCUGCAGUCGAGAAUCUUCCGCAAUGGGCGCAAGCCUGACGGAGCGAUGCCGCGUGAGGGAUGAAGGCCUUCGGGUUGUAAACCUCUGUCAUCCGGGACGAAAACAAUGACGGUACCGGAAAAGGAAGCCACGGCUAACCACGUGCCAGCAGCCGCGGUAACACGUGGGUGGCGAGCGUUAUUCGGAUUUACUGGGCGUAAAGGGUCCGCAGGGGGCCUGCCACGCCUGCCGUGAAAUUCCAAGGCUCAACCUUGGACCUGCGGCGGGUACGGGCGGGCUAGAGUGCAAGAAGGGCAGACGGAAUUCCAGGUGUAGCGGUGGAAUGCGUAGAUAUCUGGAAGAACACCGAUGGCGAAGGCGGUCUGCUGGCUUGUAACUGACCCUCAGGGACGAGAGCGUGGGUAGCAAACAGGAUUAGAUACCCUGGUAGUCCACGCCGUAAACGUUGUGUGCCAGAUGUGGGUGGGUUCGGCCCCAUCCGUGUCCAAGCUAACGCGGUAAGCACACCGCCUGGGGACUACGGCCGCAAGGCUAAAACUCAAAGGAAUUGACGGGGGCCCGCACAAGCGGUGGAGCAUGUUGCUUAAUUCGAGGCAACGCGAAGAACCUUACCCAGGUUUGACAUGCUUUCGACCGGCGUUGAAAGACGCCUUUCCUUCGGGACGGAAGCACAGAUGCUGCAUGGCUGUCGUCAGCUCGUGCCGUGAGGUGUUCGGUUAAGUCCGGCAACGAGCGCAACCCGUACUGCCAGUUACCAUCAAGUAAUGUUGGGGACUCUGGCGGGACUGCCCGUGUCAAGCGGGAGGAAGGCGCGGAUGACGUCAAGUCCGUAUGGCUCUUACACCUGGGGCCGCAAACGUGCUACAAUGGCGGGUACAAUGGGCUGCUGCAUCGCGAGAUGUGGCGAACCUCCAAAACCCGCCCCAGUUCGGAUUGCAGCCUGCAACUCGGCUGCAUGAAGUCGGAAUCGCUAGUAAAGGGACAUCAGCUACGGUCCCUUGAAUACGUUCCCGGGCCUUGUACACACCGCCCGUCACAUCAUGGAAGUCGGUCUCACCCAAAGCCACUGAGCUGACCCGCAAGGGAGGCAGGUGCCAAAGGUGGGCCCGGCGACUGGGAUGAAGUCGUAACAAGGUAGCCGUUGGGGAACCAGCGGCUGGAUCACCUCCUUU